GAACGAACAAGAGGAAAUAAAGUUCAUUUAAGUGGAGAAAGAUAUAAGAAGGCUGCCAUGUUUUGUCCUUUCUGUGGCCAACAUCUGUGGACAGUUCAAGUGCUAUGUGGCUCCUGUGGCAAACAUGUACAGUUUUUGGCAGAAGUUGAACACAACAGCAUUCCAUUAGGAGGGUCAGGAACUCACGCUUGGGACCACCAGUGUCCACUCCAUCCUCAGUUUGUCCCUCAUCCUCAGUUUGUCCCUCAUCAUCAGUAAACUUAACCUGCAUCUGAUGAGAGGGGUCGAAUGAGGCCCCUUUGAAGCCGCGGAUUGCUCCAUCCCACACAUUGGCUCUAUUAAUAUUGAACCUGCUGCAAGAGGUAUUUUAAAUUUUUGCAGAGUUCUGCAACAAUGUCUGGCGCAGUCAGGUAUUCUGUGCUGGGAAAGACAAAGUGAUGUAUUGUAAUAUUAAAUGAUGAAGCUAGUAAUAAGAUUUACAGUAUAGAAUAAAAAAAUUAAGUGAUAAAAGUAACAUUUAAUACAUUUCCUCUGCAGUUUGCUCCGUUUCCUCUUCUGGCUCAGACUGGCUGUCAAUAAUGAUAAGUGCAUACACAGUUGUGUAGCUGCUGCAGUGAGAAGAUAGUUGAAUAAUUACUUUCAAAUACAUAAUAUAUGCAUGACAGUCAUAUUUGCAAAAGGAUGUCGAUCCUCUUCCUGUUUUUUUUAAUACAUUGGGUUCUAAACUGACAACAGCACUUUGUCAUACUCCUGCACAAUCCUUGUAAACAUUUGAAAUGGAUGCAACAAACAAUAUCUGACCUUUGAAAAAUAUUUGUGGGUGUUUUUUGUAUCGUCUUCACUAAGAUGUCAGAUGUUGUGGGUGUCCUUUGGAAAUGUAUGAAAGUAUAAUUGUUCUGCUUCCUGGCAAUAUUACCCACUGUGAUUGGAGGCUAUGCAAACAACCAAAUGUACAAAUACAAAUACACACCAAACAACUGUGUCACGAUGCAACUGUCAACAUCGUUUACCUAUAGAAGGUGUUCUGACCCGGGGCAGACUGGACCUCUUCCUGGAAUGGGGUUGGUUCUCCAUCCUACUUUUACCCAAUAAAUAAUGAUGCAGUUGAUCUAAUGACAGUGUCAUUAGCACACAAAGGUAUUUAUUGAUUUCAUGUUCACAAAUUCAAACCUACAUGGUAUAAUUACAUUUGUAAUUAGUCUUACCCGAUCAGACGCUGGUUGUGGGUGCCUGAGAGGUCUGAUAAAGGUAAACAAAAAAUAUAUUCAAACUACUGUACUGUUAAAACAUUCUGCUUCUUGUGGCACAAAAUAACAUGUUGACAAUGUUGUAUUUUACCCUGGCAAACUGUUGUCCAUUCUGGGAGUGCUCUGUUCAUUUGGAAAGUCCCACACCUGCAUACAACACACAAAUGACUGACUGAAAUAAAAUAAAUUCACUAUAAUUAAGAAUAAAUGCCACGAUAGAUCCAAACUGACCACGGUGUCAGCAAGACUGUCUCCAGAUGGCAACUUUGCAACAACCACACUGUCCUCGUCACUUGAAGAGGUUGUUCCAGUGUAACCUGAGAAAAUAAAAGUGUCAUGAUUAAUACUA